CAAUAGCGUAUAUUAAAGUUGUUGCAGUUAAAAUGCUCGUAGUUGGAUUUGUGGCUGUCACGGGCGGCCUAUCACUUAGUGUUAGUGCUUGCCUGUGUCGCCAUCCUUGGGUGGAGCCCGUGUGGCAUUAGGUUGUCGUGCGGGGGAUGCCCAUCGUUUACUGCGAGAAAAUUAGAGUGUUCAAAGCAGGCUUAUGCCGUUGAAUAUGUUAGCAUGGAAUAAUAAGAUAGGACCUCGGUACUAUUUUGUUGGUUUGCGCACCGAGGUAAUGAUUAAUAGGGACAGUUGGGGGUAUUCGUAUUUCAUUGUCAGAGGUGAAAUUCUUGGAUUUCUGAAAGACGAACUACUGCGAAAGCAUUUACCAAGGAUGUUUUCAUUAA
rnacentral:rRNA from 1 species